AAGCUACUCCCUCCAUUUGGAAUUACUUGUCGCACAAACGGAUGGAUCUAGACGUAUUUUAGUUCUAGAUACAUCCAUUUCCAAGACAAGUAAUUCCGAACGGAGGGAGUAGAAA
rfam:Triticum aestivum genome assembly, contig: Triticum_aestivum_CS42_TGACv1_scaffold_377908_5AL